rnacentral:tRNA from 1 species
GGAUCUUUAGUUUAAUUAAAAUGUCUGUGUUGCAAGCAGGAGAUGUGGGGAGUCCGCAAGUUCUA